ACACACACAUAGAAAAACACCCGCAGCGGAAAAUCGCUUAUGCAGGAAGCACUUUUCUUGGCUGCUCCUUUAUGCCGAGAUUUUCCACAUGCAGCACAGGAAAAAGUGGAGCGGAGGAAAACCCUUAUCCUAACCCACUCUCGUUCCAUUAUACAUAUAUACUUUUUUCUUUCUGUGGGAACGUGAUUUCAGCAUAAUUCCGUAUAUCAGCGCACAAAUGGAGCAUGCCACACGUUCGUGGGCCGAAAAGGGGCACAGGACACCCGGAGCAAAUCCACAGUCACGGCCACAGGCUCAAAGGAAGGACAUCCCGCAAAAACACACACAUAGAUAUCGAAGCCAGACUGCACUUUUGCCAGUUUAUUGUGACUCUCCUUCCCACUUUUCCCCCAUCAAAAGAUCUGCCGGGUCAAGUACAUUAUAAGCGAAUGCCAGAAAUUCCGUUCAAAAUCUACUCACAAAUAUGAAAGCCGCAGUCGGCCCAAAACGCCAAGAGUGUUGAAAAAACAAAGUCGAUGAAAAGGUCGAAAAACACUUUGACUGAUUUGUGUGUGGAGCAUAUAUGAAAAUGCAAAGGAGGCCGAACGAAGAAUUUGCAUACAGUAUUGAGUAUCUAAAAUGUAGGUGUUUACUAAAAAGGAACAACUAAAAAAAAAAAAAAUGAUUUUUACUUACAAGUUAUUGUAUAGCUUUUGCCAUGCAAUUUAAAAACAAUCUCAGAAAACACAAAAUUCCUAUAAACUCUUUACUCUAGAUUUGAGAAAUAAUAUUGACACACAUAGAGCAGCUGAAAUGACCUAAUACCUAAUCACUUCUGAAAUAAUUUGCUUAAAAUAGGACACAUAAGUUUACUUAUUUUUAUAAAGGAAUCAACAUACUUCUUGCGGUUUUCUUAACUCUUAAGUUAACCCUCGCUGACCACUAUGGCCAGUACUAAAAAUGAGGCGAAAUCCAUUGAUUCAUCGAGUGCCAAUUUACAAAUCGAAAAGGCAGCCGCCAGUGCACAAACAGCAAUCUCAAGCGGAAUCAGAAUCGGGGAUCGAAAUCGGAGCACACACACGGAAAUCGAGGGGAGUGGAAAUCAAGGGGGAAAAGCGGAAAAAAGAAGGCGGCGGUAUCGAGGGCUCUCGGCAAACAUGGAAAACAUGAAAAUCGAGCGCUUUAAUAUUUUGAGCCCAUUGAUUUUUGAGCCACCCGCUGGCCGUCGAAUGUGUCUGUUACCAUAACCGUACCCAAAUCCUGGAACCCCCUCUCAACCGAAGCCUCUGGCAUGUGUGUGUGUGUGGGAGUGUUUGUGUAUUUGCUCAAAAUGUUUUCCUGGGAUUUUCCACACAAAUUUUUAUUCAUUCAUUCCGGCUGCCGGCUGCUGGUUGCUGGGAAAUCUGCGUCGCCGCUGCGGAGUCCUCUUUCCAUUCUAUAUCUCAAUGAGCGACCAUUCGGCAUGAAUUUAAUCUUUAUUGGAGGAGUCAGUGCAAGUCAAGUGGGGCGAAGGAGAGGAGGGUACUUGAAAUAAUGCUUUAUAAGGUCUGGUUGCCGGAGUCCCGAGUCUGGAGGCUGGCAUUCCGUUUCGAGAAGUCCCCGCAGGCGAGACAAAAUCAAUUUCAAUCAAACAAAUGCAGCGAGUCGAAGGAAGGGAGCAAAUGAGUCCCCAGACCAAAUCCACUCAAGUGAACCAAUAAAAACAUGAAGCACAGAAAAAUAAUUCGACGCAAGUAACAAUUUUUGAGGGGGUUGCUUUUAUUUAUUUAUUUUUUUUUUUUUUUUUGGCAGGGGGCUGAGUCACUAAAAAUGAAAUGCAUGUAACGAAAUAAUUGAGAAUAAUCGAAUUUAAAUCACAUUUGGCUUUGACACUGAUGACAAUGACACACAACGAUGAUCGCGAUCACGAGGGGUUGGGAAAAACCAGAGGGUGACGAAGUGACAAGGGUGAGGAAAAGCUGAACUGUGACUUUCACAUGUCAGAACUCGGGCGAAUGAACUGUCACAAUCAAUUCGAAAAGCCAAAGCCUGUUGAACCCCGUCCAUUUUUCUAAUAAAAUUGAAGAUAAUAUGGAAUAACA